GCUGCUCCGCGCCCUCCCCACCCCACUCCCGCGCCUUGCCUUCGCGGACGAGCACGGGGGCGGGGGCGGGGAGGGGGGGCCGGGAUGCACUUCCAACCUUCUCGCCCAGAGGAAGGGACCGCGGGGCGCCCCCUUUCCCGCCCCCACCCCGGGGAGAUCAGAGUGAUGCGAGCGGAUGUUCGACGGAGCGUCGAGGAGGCCAAUGCGGGUUCUGAGUCGAUUCCGGCUGCUUCGGGCGGCAACCAAGCCCUGUCAAAGGAGGCUGCGCGACCUCAGGAAGCAGAGAAAGACCAAUUAGUCGGUGCAGAUGGUCCGAGGCUUAGCAGACGGACGGACCCUCCGCGGCGGCGGCGGCGGGACGGUGCGCAUCGCGGUGCCGCGGGAGGAGGCGCGGGCGUGGAUAACUCCAGGGUCCCCGGGUGGCCGGGCUGGGCUGUUGGGCCGCUCUUCCACCCUGGCUGCGAGAGUGCAAUUUUUGAGAGUCGCGUAACCAGUAGAUUAUCUUUGUUUUGUGGCGGAGAUUAUUCGCUUUUAAAUCCUGAGGUCUUAAGAAGACAGUUUAGGACUUGAGAUUCACCGUUUUGUUUGCCCUUCCCCGGAGGUAGCGUAGCCAACCUUGGAGCUCGCUUAAAAACAGAAACCCACCCCCAUCCCCCCCUUUGACGCAGCUGGUGUUCUUGGUUUACUAAGAUAGGUAACAGCGGCACUUCGCAGUCGCCUCCAGUCUGGUCGGAAAAGCACGGUCGCUAAUUAACUUUCUCAUUAAAAGGCGCAGAGGAGGACCCGAGCCCCAAAACUCCCUCCGGCGGCUCGCGGGUCCCCGCUGCGGUGGCGCUUUCUGCGCUGUCCCUUUGCGCGAGGGGUCUUGGACCUGCGCUCUCCGCAGCUUGACGUUUGGAGAACUGCAUAGAUGACCGGUCUUGAUUCGUUACAGACGUUAACAAAUUACUUCACCCAAGAUUAUUUUAUGAUCUUUCAGCAGCUUGCUUUGAAGUCUCUGUUUAAGGUUUUUGGUUGUUGGUAGUAGCCGAAUUUAACUGGCUUUUUAUUUUAUCUCUAACUUCGUUUCGUUGCUCGGUGAAGAAUCAACAAAAUAAAACAUUUAAAGACCUAACGUUUUCCUCUGAUUUGUUUGUUAAUAAAAAUACCCUGGUUGGGGCUCCUGGGUGGCUCAGCCCGUCAAGCCUCCGGCUCUUGAUCUCUGCUGAGGUCUUGAUCUCAGGGUCCUGAGUUCAAGCCUCAGGCCGGGGCUCCUGACUGAGCACGGAGCCUACAUAAAAUUAAAAUUUUUAAAAAUGUCCUGGUGCGCUGGUGGAUUCAGAUGCUCGGGAUGUUUGGUAGUUAAAUACGACCAGGGUUCAAAGUUUUUAAACCUGGUUUCGUGAUUUGUAAAAUGAUCUAAUGAAUUUGUAAAAUGAUCUGAUCAACUGCACGUCAAGUUCAGGCACCAGGUAGAAAUAUAAGGACCGCAGGUGAGUGAGUGGAUGGCAACUUCAGGAAUUAGCUCUUAGCCAAGAUGGAUCUCUUGAUUACUUUCUUCUCUAAAAAAUGAGUUUAAAAAUACAUUGAUCAUAAAAUUAUUUGGUAUGUCAACGUCCUUCUCGAAAAUCUACUCUUUCCCUCUUAGUGGACAGAAGGUGAAAUAGUGUCAUACCGCCAUGAGCUUUCUCCCGUUCUUUACAUAAGGUUGGAGCCGUCUCCGAGGAACUUAUGACCUUGGACAUCAUUCUGAGAGGCGAAGAAAGCUCCUCUGUGUGACUGGCAAUAUUAUAAAGAAUUUGAAAUGUUUAACUCACAUGCAAUAUGUAAAUAUUUUGUAGUUAUUAAUGAAAUCCAACCACUGUUUAAGGGCAGGGGUUAAAGGAGGAGAAAGUGUCCCCUUUAGCCUGCAGAAAAUGAAAGAAAACCUGAGAUGACUUCAUUCUAUCCACAUUGGUUUAUCUGAGGUAUGUAUGCACUUAGGG
rnacentral:lncRNA from 1 species